CUGAGAUAAAGACGGACUUUUAUUUUCCAAGAAGGGAUGUGCUUGUGCAAUGUUCAUAGCAGUGGUGGAUUUACACUCACUGACAGAGUGAAGCAAUACGUCUCCCAGAACUAGUGGCAUUACCACCUUUACUCAGCCCUUCCACCAGCUGCAGUGUCUCGGGAAAGUCCUUCUCAUGAAGAAAACAUCUCUGCAAUGCCCAGCCCAGUCUCUCCAUGCAGAGAAGUGCUGGGAAUGGAGUGGCACACUCAAGUGGCUGAGCAAAGCAGCUUGAAAACCUUGCACCAGAUGGGCUUCCGCUGAGCACUGCUCCUUGCAGCACAAACCCAUCCUCUGCUGCAGCCAGCAGCUCAGCCCCGGGGUAGGCUGCACAGGUUGGUCAAUUCCAAAUUGCAGGAGCUGUUCUCACAGCCACGGACAGACAAAAAGCCCACGGUGACCUGAAGGACCAACAGCUGAAAGUUCUUGUGGGCCGUCACAAUCACUGGGAAACAGUGCUCAUCAGAAAGCUGUUUUGUGGAGAAAACAUGUUCUUCAGUAUGUUUCCCUCUUUUUCAGUUUAGGAGCAGAUUUUGUAACAUUCACACAGAUAUCCCCAGACAAUCCAUUUGCUUCAUACAAACAUAUGUUGAUUGUUUGACAGACACCAUAUUUUUGCUGAUUGUGGCUUAGCUGGUGGUGCGGAGAUACCUGAAGGAGAUGGAGAGCAGAACUGGCAGCUGGAGACUGCUCUCUGCCUGUGCUCGAAGAGGAACAGUCCUUGAGACCUUGUCCUUGGGGCACUGCAGGUGCCUGGGGGAGGAAGGUUCCAGAUGACAGGCUUUCCUUCCAUCCUGCCUGGCCUUUCUGUCUGGGGUGUCUGCCUUCCCAUGGGAACAGAUUCAGACAUGAUGGGGAACAUGAUGUGGAGACAUCUGAAACUGUUAAAUCCAGUGAUGUGCGAAUAUUGCUGGACUGCUUCCAGGCAUGUUGUAGAACAUCUGUGUACCACUGCACAUAGCCAGGGCUGGGCUCUUACAGCUCAGGAAUGAUUCUUUCCUGGGGAAGGCAGCCUGCAAAGACCACUCAACUGAGGAGCAACUGGAUGAAGAGAAGUGUCAGGAGGAGAGGGACAGCAGCGGUAUUCAGUCACAGCCAAUGUGGUUUAAAGGCACCAAACUACAGGUGAAAGGGACUUACUAGAGCUGUGUCUCAGGUUAUCCAGAGACCCAGGAAGAAUCCAGGCCACAGUUUGGUAAUGUAAAUCCAGCUUCAGAGCUCUUGUUAGAUCAAAAAUAUUGCAUCCUCUUCCUACAGGAAUUAAAAGAGUAAGUUUAAAGUAGCACCGAGUGCUCUAUCUACGAACUGGCCUGCUAAUUUACUGUAGGAGUUUGACAGGCAUACGGCACAGCAGCUUCUCUCCUCAGAUGCUGUGUGAAAGCAAGAUAUAAAGCAUCUCCAGAACAAGACUGCAGGGGGGGAAAUAGCUGAACUGACAAUGCAUAACAUCACAUUUACAGAGUAAACAAGCUGGGGAGACAAAAGCAAAUCUUCUCUCAAGUCUUUAGUUAAAAGAGUCUUUUUUACAGCAUGCAGCUUUUAUAGCAUGCAGCUGUAGCACCACCAUCGCACAGAUGGGAUUGGGAGAUUUGAAACCAAUGUUCCUUUUAAGAGUUUGCCAUGUGCUCCCAUUCUAGUAACACACAGUAUCCACUGGAUUACCAGCAGGCGAAGGCCUGUCACCAAAUACAUUUCCAGCAGCCGCAUCCAGGGGCACGGAGAUGCAGCACUGCCAGCAUCAGGCUCCACUUGCAGCCCCAACUGCAAACCAGGUGCACAAACUCUGCCCAUUAUCUUUUCCUAAGGAUGCUAUCUGAGACAAAAAAGGGAGGGUUGUAGUACUUCAGUGCUCCAGAUUUGCCUGCGCUGAAGCCAGCUCUGCCUGUAUGAGGGGACAGACUGAGAAUCCUAUGCAUGCACACACAGAUGCAUACACCCUUACUAAACUUUGCAGUCAGAAGCUGUCUUCAAUGCCAUUUUGCCUUCUUUGGUCUUGCUUUUUUCCCGCAAAAAAAGAAGUGGUUGCAUGCAGAAAUAGCACCUUGCCAUGAAGGGGCUCUGGGGGCAACUAUGCGAUGUUGCAGUGCUGCUUUUCAGAGCAUUGAGCUGGCAGUGCAGAAGAGGAGAGAAAGAAGGACUGAAGGAGAGAAACAGCUGCUUCAUGAUGCCAGGUCAGCUGGCGCUCCUCUUGUUCAGGUGUUAAACUCCCAUACGUUGGCCUGGCCAAGGCUGUAUGGAUACACUGUGAAAUUACGCUUAAGACGCUCAACACUAAGCUCAUUCCUCUCCCAAGACGUGGAAAAUUCAGUCUUGGAUUGGAACCUGGUUUUUUUUUGUUGUUGUUGUUGUUUUGUUUUGUUUUUAUUGGCAAAACACCCUGAAGCACAAACCUCCUAGCCCUCACACAAAGGUCCGCAGCGUUUCGGUAGCAGAGGGGUGGGUGAGGUGGGGGGGAUUACGCGUUGCUGUUGUUCUGUUGAAAGUAGGUUUGUUUCUGUCUCAUAAAGUAUGCAAGAAUUUUCCCAUGCUCUGCUCCUGGCCAGCCCUGAACAGCAUGCUUUGCACAUUAGCAGCUGAUGCUGGAAUGUGGCGUUCCCAGGGCAACUAUUAACCCCCCAUGGAGCACCGCCAACCCCUCACCAUUGUGCGGGGCCUGACUGAAGGCCGCUUUGUUGGGUGAUGUAAUGCCAUGUAUGCAAACUAAGCCAGGGGCACAAAUGGCACUUGGAAACUGUUCCCUGACUUCAAAGGAUGGGCUGCGUGACUCCCACUAUGGCUGACUCCAGCCUGCACCAUCCCGGCCAUAUUUCCAGUGCUGUCCCACCUGCCAUCAUUGCCCUGCGAUGGCCCUGGCAGAAGCUGUACCUGCCUUGUUCACCCAUAUGUUCCCACCUGGGCCUCUGUGCCUCUGAGCACUGUGCCCUCAAGAGAUUUGGCUUUCAUAUUGAUUAGAGGCUUCAGCUCCCAAGAACCAUGACUUGAUGUAGACCUAAUGCUGCGUAAAUAGUAAAAAUACAUUUUUUCCAUCUCUGAAGCUUUGCUGAGUUCUUCAGGCAUUGAAUACUGGGUGGGGAACUGGAGGUUUGCCACUAGCUUCAAAAAGAGAGCAAUGCUGCUGUUACAUCUAAAAUCCAUUUAUUACAUGGCUGUCUAAAUUCAGUUUCGUAAAAUAUCAGAGCAUAUCAAGGACUGCAGGGACUAACCAAAUCCUUACCAGCACCUUGGGUUUAUGGAAAAUCUCAGCAUCAGACAACUCACAACAUCCCAGAUUGAUUGAGAAACAACGGUAAUGUGCCUGGUCUGCAAGACCACUUUCUGUUCUGAACAAGGGAUUGGUAGAAGCAUUUUGAAGGAUACAAAACAAAACAAAACAGAAAAAGGAAAAGGAAAAUUUGCGGUAUUCAAAACAUUAUUUACAAUGCACUUCUGUUGUGUAAUAGCAAACCAAUAUCUAACUCCAAUUAGGAUGGAGAAGUUCUGACUGAGAACUGAAAGCACCCUAAUUUCAUAUCUAUUUGCAGACUGCACAGUACUUCAGUACUGACAUCCUGUCCUAGUACAUUUUGGCCUCGUUGUUCACAGAUAUAUAGGGUGAUGGAAAAUGUAUAAAGACAUCACUGAGUUAAGUGUCUAAUGUUUUGCUUCGUGUUUCUUAGUAUACACAGCUUUUGGUACCAGGACUUUGUCAAACGAUCUCAGACAUUUCCUGUAGUACAUCUGUAAGGCACACAAGUCAAGAAUCAUUAUGAUGUUUUUAACCAGGGCAAAAUAAAUACAUAAAAGGACAAGUAUUUUGGUCAUACAUCACUGUCGGUGACAGAACUGGGACAAUAAUCCAGUGCAUGCAGACAGGAAGAACUCGUUUUAAUUUCAGGGCCAGGGGGCCCCCCUCAGUCUCCUAGUUCACCUGCCUUAAGGAAGGUGAUUUGAUGAUCACACAGUUCUUCUGAUGGGAAUGAAAAAUGAAUUACAUAGUGUUCUUUGUAACAAAUGAAACAACUAAUACAAGCUAGAAAGCCAAGAAAUUCAAAGAUACUCAUAACACAACCUUAUGAUGUGGAAAUAGAAAGUGAAUAUAAGGCACAUAACCUUAAGUUUGCCCAUGUGUCCCUAUCAAAUUGAAUUAGGAAGAUUUCUGCUUCAGUUACCCAGCUCCCAAAAAUGAAGAUGUUGAGAACUCAGUGAGAUUCAGUCCUGCUUGCCUUUAGGUUACACAUUACUUUCUGUGGGAAGAGCUUAGCAGAUCUAGUAGCGUGAAUGGAUGGGUUAUAAUGACAGUAAUAACAAAUGUCAUGCACAUUCCAUGAUUAGCUAGAAAAAUGAUGCUAGGGCUAAAUAGGCAUGUCUCAUUCAGAUGCAUGUCACCAAGCCGGGCUCAUCACCUAGGUACUGGAUGCCAUCUCUCCCUUUUUCUCCUUCUCCUAUUGCUAAACAUGCUAAUCCUGUGCAGCAACCAAACAUCAUUAUUGCAGGCUUGUCCAAAAAUUAUGCAGAGACAAUUAGCCUCAUUGAAAAAGGUAUCAAAGACCUCACAGUAUCAUUCAUCUGUCCCUCACUGUGCGCGCACACACACACAGAGGCAUCCAAGGGAUUUUAAACAUAGCUAAAGACAGUGUUUUCAUUAGUUCACUGUGAAUGGCAGUGACUUCAUGCAUUAAAAACUCGGCACCUCCCCCUGUGGUGUAAUGCCUGUGCCUGAGAUGAAUGGCUUUGCUACAGCUUUUUGUCCUGAAAGCCUAGGAUAGAGAUGCUCACCAGCCCCAAGGGAGGCUGCAGCUGAACGUGGCCUAUUAUGACCAUGCUGGCAGCACCUAUUGAUUGCAAAAAGCAAGUGAUAGCAUCCUCACCAAAAUAAACACAAGGAUAAGGGGAAUGCAGAGGAAUACCUCGGCUUAGCUUCUCCUAAGGUGUACGUAGUCAGCAAGCUCUUUCCAGAUUGCUUUACUAAUAUGGACAGCCACAGAGCUCCUGAGAAGUAGAAAUGUCAUCCCUCGUCUUCCUCCUUCAUGUUGCAAAAGUUUAAAAAAGAAAUAUGAGGUGUGUUCAACCACAGCAUUCACAAAUGCAACUCUCAGCACCCAGACAUCAUGUGGGAACAGAAAAACUAAAAGUUGGGCGAGUGGAUGCAGGAAGGAUCCAGAAGUUUGCAGAAACUAUCAUUCAGUACAUGUUUAUGACAAAUACAUGCUGUGAUAUCGUCAUGAGGGAAUAUCUGAACCACUACAGAGUCUGCUGUACUGAAUCAGCCUACUGAAUGAGACCCUAAGUUGCUUCACACUUUAUCUUACUGAGAAUUUGCCAACAAAGAUGAAAAAAAAAAGAAAAAGAACCCACAAUUCUGGAAAACGAUUACGACCAUAACUUGUCUUGGGAGACAUGAUGGUGCAGCCAGAGAUCAACCAAGCUGUGGAAGCUGAGCCCUGGCAUCAGCCGAUGACUGUGCAAUCCCAUUGAAGUGCUUCCAGGCCCAAAAGCUUGCUCCCAUUUUACAGCUGUAGGGGCUGUUACUGCUCUCUCAAAGCGCUUCUCCGGACCACCAAGGCUGCAACAAUUUCACUGCUGCUUUCUUAAGAGCAGCAACUUCCACAGGAUAGAUCAAUAGCCUGAUCCAAGAGCAGUGGCCAUGCAGAGAUGUGCAGCCAUUCUAAAACCUCAGCUCUUACGUUUGCUUGAAAAUAUAAAUCAAAACUUUUCCCAAUUCCAUUAUUGAAAAUAUUUACCUGCUCUGAAAUAGGUUACUAUCACCUCCUUAGCAGCCCUAGGAAAAAUCGCUGUUAGACCAGAUCAGUACAUUUUCACAAUGGGCUGCUUUUUGCUUUUUAAGAGUGAAUUAGACCGGCCUGGAGCAGUGUCUGUGCAUAGCCUUUAGGAAUCCACAGUUGUUAAUAAUUAAACUAGACGCCAUUUCCUAAAGGUGGACCUGCAACUGAAACGCGAUCCAUAGGUAGGCAGCAGGAACCAAGGCAAAGCCACUGUUCUUCUAAUAAAGAAUGAUUACUGCCUUCAAGCAUAAUGCUUUUGACAGGCUGGUCUAAACUCUUGUUGGGGUCAGAAGGUUAAUCUCGCAGCAGCUACAGGCCCCCUCGCUGCUGAGCGUGAACAAUAUGGUUAACAUUUUUGGAACGGAGUUAAAUUUCUUGGUAAUUCCUGGCCCACACCUGACAGAAGCCGCACUCUUCUCUGCUUUUGGAACCUGCCAUCUGGAAGAUAACAAAUUCUUAUCUAGCCUGUUGAUCUUUUCUUAAAUCACUAUGAAUGUUUCCCACCGCUGACCAAAAGACCAGAAAACAGAGUUUACCCACCUGAAAUAAACUCUGAGCUUUCCUGGGGCUAAUUCCUUCAGAUCUUAAUGUGACUGCAAAACACAGGAAUGUGUGACACAGCGGAGAGCUCUCAAUGCCAGCAACAUUCCUCGGGCUCAUCACUGCAGCCAUCACAGCUCUUUUUCCUGGGCUACCAAGUAAAUGCAAAUAAAUCUUGACAUCGUGUUUUUGUUCAUUAUCUGACCGUAUUUGGCUUCAUUCAUCAGUUUAUCCUCACGUAAGUUAAUACAGGAUGGAUGACGUCGUUUAGCUUAU
ensembl:lncRNA